GAGGCGGAGAACGAGCGGAUGCACCUGAUGACCUUCAUGGAGGUGGCGCAGCCGCGGUGGUACGAGCGCGCCAUCGUCCUCGCGGUGCAGGGCGUCUUCUUCAACGCCUACUUCCUGGGCUACCUCGUCUCCCCCAAGUUCGCCCAUCGCGUGACCGGCUACCUGGAGGAGGAGGCCAUCCACUCCUACACCGAGUACCUAAGGGACCUGGAGGCCGGCAAGAUCGACAACGUCCCCGCCCCCUCCAUCGCCAUCGACUACUGGCGUCUCCCCGCCGACGCC
rnacentral:lncRNA from 1 species